rnacentral:lncRNA from 1 species
UUGAUGUUAGAGGAAAAAACUUCGAGUUUUUUCCGUUUGGAAGUGGUAGAAGAAUGUGCCCUGGAGUAUCUUUUGCCCUUCAUGUCAUGGAUCUAGCACUGGCUACAUUGCUACAUGGGUUUGAUUUUGCAACCCCGUCAGGUGAGCCUGUUGAUAUGCAUGAGAGCAGUGGAUUAACCAACCUCCGAGCAACGCCCCUCGAAGUUCUUCUCAGUCCACGCCUUCCUUCUCGUUUAUAUGGACAUUAAAACAUACCUCUAAAUCGUCUAUAUGCUUUUCUUAAAUUUCCAGCAACUAUGAAUUAUACUUUUAAAUUCGGUUCAAGAGGGAUGCACAUCAUCUCCAUUAACAAGUUGUGAGAAGCAAAGUUAUCAUUUUAAUUCUUUUAGAUUCAAGUAUUUAUUUUUUCUUGUUCAGAAUUAUGUUAUUGAUUGUUAUUUAAGAUUAUUGAAUUGUUUUGAGAUGACAUGUAUGUUUUCUAGUUUCUUUCAAUCCGUAAUUGUUGUUAGAGACUAAUGUAAGAAGCAGAAGAAUUAAUUUGAUUGUUGUAACUCUCAUCUUGAUUUAUUAGAGAAGAAUAAACUAAAUUAAAUUGAAAAGCUUUUGAACGUUUACUUAGAAUAAAUGCAUAAAUUUUAUUCCUAAGACUAUUAUCAAUGAAAAUUGCUUUCAAUAUUACAUUCGCUUGAUGGUAAGAAAUUGAUUAGAGAGAUUUUUCUAAUUAAUGUUCUCGUAAUCUCAUCAAUUUUCCUCAGCUUUAAGGGAUAUUAAAUUUAUUUGCUUGACGUGAAAGAAUAUUUAUUUUACUUCGAUGAUCAGCAAAUUUAUAGGAAUGGAUGUGUGGAUCCUUGAACUGAUUUGGUAACAUAUCAAUUUAUUAUUUUCAGAAUUAUUGUUUCUUGAAUUUUUCAUUCAAAUCUCUCAUUCUUUCUCAUUUCAAUAUAUUGUAGGAAGAUUAAACGAAAUUUCUCUCGGGUUCGACCUGGUUUUCACGAUCAUAUUAUAAAUUUAUUUUUUUGUGAUAAUUAAGUCAUAAUUAUAUUUUGAUGGUUCCGACGACCGACCAAAUUUUGGAGUUGUUGCCGGGAAAGUUUUUAUCUAAUUUUCUAUUAAUAGUAAACUGAUUUAUGCCAAGAUCUUCUCGUACAGGUGAACUAGUUUUUGAUCCAAAAGUUGAGAGAACUACAAGAUAAAAUAGGAAGGCAAAAAUGCGAGAGGAGAACCUGCCAACCUUAACGCUUUCAACCAGCAAUUCUAAAAGCGAAAGAGAAGCAGAAGUUUCCAAAAGAUGGUAGAACAUAGAACAUUAAGCAACUCCCAACUUGAACCAACACCCAUUAUGCAUUGAAUUUUCAAAUAUUGAUGUAGCUUUUGAGUUAAAAUCUAGUUUGAUUCAUUUACUACCUACUUUUCGAGGCUUUGCAGGUGAAGACCCCCACAAUCACUUAAAGGAAUUCCAUGUGAUUUGUUCAACCAUGAAGCCACAAGGAGUGAUAGAGGAACAAAUUGAAUUGAGGGCUUGAGUUCUAAAAUAGUCACCUUGAGUGCUAAAAAAAAAGUCCACGCCCCCAUUUAACUUUUAUGAUGGGGUUACUUGUAGUUCAAUAUUUGAAUAGUGAGCCCUCGUGCCCCCUUUAUAUUUUACAUCAAAAUCAACUCAAGAAUCGACUUAGUUUAUGCAUACAACUCGAUGAUGGAUUUUGUUUUAAUGGCGGGGUUGAAGAAUCUUCAACGGUGUGUCAACAACUUAAAUCAGCAAUCUUGUUGCUUUUGGAAGUGACAAUUGUUAUAACUUAAUUUUAACCAAUUUGUUUUUAAUUUAAUUUUAAAAGGGUUAAAAUUUAAAAUUUAAAAUUUAAAAGAUCAAUAAUUGAUUUAGAUUAAAGGUAUGAUAUGCUAACUUGUGGGAAAACUAGAGAUUAUAAUAUGUUUUUGUUAUUCUCUUCUAAUCUCUAGUUUAAAAAGAUAAUUAAAGAUAAUCCAUUUUUAAAUUUGAUUUGUAAUCAAACUUAAAUUUCACAAAUAAAAAAAAAUUUGAGUUUUUUUCGGGAUUUUGUUUCCCAUUCCAUGGGAGGGGGGGGGGGGUGUUUCACCUUCUCCCUGCCAGCGUCGUUCCCCAAAACCGAACACAAACCAGAGCCUCAAUCUCUGAUAUAUAAGAAAAAUUGAAAGAGAGUUUUUUUUUUUUUUGUAUGAUAUGUGGAGGAAUCUCAAUCAUAAAAAAGGCCAUGUGAAAGCAACGGCAAGCUUUGGACUCAUCCGAACUGCUCCUUCACAUUUAAAUAAGCUGAUAUUAUUAAAAAAUAUAUUGAUUUUAUUUACGUUUGGAUAUUGUAAUACAUAUCAAUAUAUUUCUUAAUAUAUCAAACUGAUUUAAAAUUAAAAAAUAUUUUUUUAAUUAUAUUUUAAUACCAAUUAUAUCAUCGAAGAUUAAUAGUAUUUCUGGUCUUAUUAUGUUUGGAUUUUUUUUUAAUUUUAUAUCAAUAUGAUAUAUUAAGAAAUAAAUUGAUAUUUAUUCCAAAAUCCAAACAUAAUAAGUCAAGAAAUACCUUUACUACCGAACCAACAACUUGAAUUAAAAUAUAAUUAAGAGAUUUCAUCUCUAGCAACUCGAUGAUAUUUUCCUCGAGCAAAUCAUUUAGUAUUCUAUAUAUAUCUGAGUCAGUGCAUUAAUUAAAAACAUUGCAUUUUAAGAAGCGAAUAAAUUAUUUUAGAAUGAGAUCACUACCAGUUUCAAUAUUGUUGCAAGUCUCCAAGUAAAUUGUCCAUCUAUGAAUAUUAACGUUAUUGCAAGUAAUUCUUGUAUGUACUUGUUCAUGAAUAUUCACAUUAAUUUGAUAAAUCAAUCAUUAAUCAUUCAAGUUAUUAAACUCAAUUCAUGAUUUCGUAAUCUAAAUUAACUUAAAUCAAUUUAAAAUUAUAUUAUUUCAAGAUAUUAAAAAAAAUUAAAACAAUACAAUUUAAAAAUAAAUAAACUGAGUUUUGAUCAAGGACUUGAACUAAUUUUUUAAAUUUCAGCAAUCAACUUCUUUUUGGUAUUUUUAAAACCCAACCCAACCUAGUCCUAAAUUUACUAGACCCAACUUGGCCCAUCACUUCAAAUCACUGAUGACAAUCACACUAUAUAUUAUAUCAUUUAGAAACAAUAAUAGAGUGGCAAUCAUCAUCCAUUUAUUGACGAUCAAAAAGCCUAUAGGCAAUGAAUGGUUUGGGAACCGACAUUAGUGGAUGCUUUAGAAAAAUUAAUAUUGACUAUAUAUCAAGUUCUUUCUUGGGCCAAUCUUUUUUAGCCGAGAGUGGGAAAAUAAAAUUUCUAGUGUUGUCACUUCACUUUACCUCUAUCAAACAGGAAAAAAGGUUUUUUUUUUCUUUUUUUAAUCAGGCAUAAUUAGUCCAUACACAUCUCGUUGAACUAAACAUUAACUCUUUUUUAACUCUUUUUUUUUUCUUUUACUAGCGGUCCAGAAUUGAUCACUCAGGUCAACUCGGAUUAACCAUGAAAAAUUAAAAAAAAAAAAAAUUCUAAUAUUUUUUAUAAAAAAAUUAAGAAAAAAUCUAUGUAAAUAUAGACUAUACAUAUUGUAAAUAAUGAAGUUUAAAAGAAUAUUUUAAAAUUAUUUUAAUAAAAUGGAUGUUCGGGUCAGCUUGCGCGCAUCUUGAUUAAUCUCACGGGCCUUAAAGUUAACAACCAUAUAAGCCUUCAAUACCCCUAAAAUUUAUAAGACUCAAACUGGUAGUCUAUAUAACAACUACAUUACUAGUUAAGUUACGUAACUCCGGAUUGAAAUUUUUGUUUUUUGUUUCUACGGUUGCGGAGAAAUCUCGAUAAUAAAAAAGAGGCCAUGUGAAAGCAACAGCAAGCUUUGGACUCAUCCGAACAGCUCCUCAACAUUUUAAAAAGCUGAUAUUAUUACAGGAAGGCGUUACAUCCCAAAUCUCCAGAACGAGCUAUGGAGUUUUUUUAUCUUCCAUUCCUCACCAAUAACAUGACCUCCAAUCCCAUGUUUUUCAUUUUUAUUUUUAUCUGUUCAAUCUUCUGGAUUUCAAGAAAAUUCUUAGCAGGCACAGGCAAGAAGAAAGCAGCACCAAAAGCUGGUGGAGCAUGGCCUGUGAUUGGCCACCUCCAUCUGUUAGGAGGGGCGGAACCUCCCCAUAAAGUACUGGGCAGCAUGGCUGAAAAAUAUGGACCCAUCUUCACAAUCAAGAUGGGCGUGCACCGAGCUUUGGUAGUAAGCAAUUGGGAGACCGCCAAGGAGUGUUUCACCACCCAUGAUAAAGCCUUUUCCGGUCGUCCGAGAACACUUGCCUCUGAGCUUUUGACAUAUGAUGGUGCAAUGAUGGGGUUUAGCCCAUAUGGGCCUUAUUGGCGUCAAGUCCGCAAAAUAACCACGGUUGAGCUUCUAUCAAACUACCGGCUAGAGAAGCUGAAAGAUGUACGAGAGAGCGAGGUAAGGGCAUUUCUGAAAGAGUUGUACAAGUUAUGGGACGAGAAUAGAUGUAGUGCAUCAAAAUCAAAAAGUAGUCUGGUAUUGGUGGAAAUGAAAAGAUGGUUUGGAGAUCUAACAUUAAACAUCGUUCUUAGAACAAUUGUUGGAAAAACUGUGGGAUAUAUCUCAAACGUUGAGGAUGAGGAGAGUGUGGAAGGAUGGAAAAAGGGAUUGAAGGAUUUUUUUCAUUGGACAGGGGUGUUUUCGGUGUCUGAUGCGCUACCAUUUUUAAGGUUUUUGGAUCUUGGGGGGCAUGGGGAGGCUAUGAAGAAGACUGCAAAAGAACUGGACCUUGUUGUUGAGGAUUGGCUACAAGAACACAAGCGAAAAAGAGCUGCUGGAAUUGUUAAGGGUAAGGAGGACUUCAUGGAUUUGAUGCUAGAUGUUUUCGAUAAUGAUGCAGAAGCAGUUCAAGGCGGAGAUUCUGAUACCACCAUCAAAGCUACAUCCCUGGUAAUUAAUCGUCCACACCAAUUAACCCAUGCUAUAGUUCAUACCCAAUUCAAUUAAUUAUUACCCUCUAUGCUUAGUCUUUUAAGGAUUAAUUCAAUUAAUUAACAUUAAUUAGACUAUAAAUAAACUAUAGAUUGAUAAAUGUAGAAGGCUCUGCAAUUCUUAUUUUAACAUUGAAAAGAAAAAAAAAGGUUGCAUAAUUUAAACAAUACUUUUUGCAUCCCUACAACGAUGCCAAGAGGCAACAUUUUAACAAGUUUUAUGUUCAUUGCAAAACAAAAAAAAAAAAAAAACAAAUCAUGAAUAAGAGAAUAUUUUAGUAGAGUAUACAUCUUUUUUGUUGAAUAUCAUAAGGGGUAAAAUACACUAACAUCUCCUGAACUAUUAGUUAAAUAUAUUAUGUCAAAUUUAUUCAGCUUAGAUAAUCAUUAAAAAAACUAACAAAAAAAAAUAUUCAUAUUAAGUUAACUUUUCAUUCAAAUUGAGGUUAGUAUUUGUCAUGUGACUGCAUAACUUAACAAAACAAAAAUCUAAUUUUUAAUUUUAAUUUUCUUUGAGGAUUAUUUACAUUAAAUAAAUUAGAUAAAAAACUAUUGACACUUUGACCUCUUUAAAGUUAGAGACAUUUUACCUUCUUUUAAGUUAGUAAUAAUUAUUAGUUUAUUUUAAUGAAAUAGAAAAAGAUAUAGACAUAUUUUUCAAGAUGAGGCUGAAAUUAUGAAUUUAAAAAAAAUGUAAAAAUUAUCUAGGUGGUGGCCCAGUGAUAAGAGUUUGGGACCAAGAGGUUUGCUUUCCCUGUGGUCUCAGGUUCAAGCCAUGUGGUUGCUCAUAUGAUGGCCACUAGAGGCUUACAUGGUCGUUAACUUCAGGGCCCGUGGGAUUAGUCGAGGUACGCGCAAGCUGGACCAGACACCUACGUUAAACUAAAAAAAAAAAUGUAAAUAAUUAUUAGUCUAUGGAUGUUGCUUGAGUUAAUGGGUUACAGCUUGCGGAAUAUCACUCUUGCAGGCCCUUAUUCUGGCAGCAUCAAACACGACAGCAGUGACUUUGAUAUGGGCUCUCUCUUUACUAGUCAAUAAUCCUAAUGUACUAAAGAAGGCACAGCUUGAAUUAGACACCCACGUUGGUAAGGAAAGACAAGUGGAAGAAUCGGAUGUGCAAAAUUUGGUCUACCUUAAAGCUGUUCUCAAGGAAACGCUGCGUUUAUACCCAGCUGGACCUCUCUUGGUACCACAUGAGGCCAUUGAGGAUUGCACCAUAGAUGGCUACCAUGUUCCGAGAGGGACAAGACUUCUCAUUAAUGUUCCGAAGAUUCAUCGUGAUGAAAGGGUGUGGUCCAAUCCUAACGAGUUUGAUCCGGAAAGAUUUCUAACAACUCACAGAGGUUUUGAUGUUAGAGGAAAAAACUUCGAGUUUUUUCCGUUUGGAAGUGGCAGAAGAAAGUGCCCCGGAGUAUCUUUUGCCCUUCAUGUCAUGGAUCUAGCACUGGCUACAUUGCUACAUGGGUUUGAUUUUGCAACCCCGUCAGGUGAACCAGUUGAUAUGCACGAGAGCAGUGGAUUAACCAACCUCCGAGCAACGCCCCUCGAAGUUCUUCUCAGUCCACGCCUUCCUUCUCGUCUAUAUGGACAUUAAAACAUACCUUUAACUUGUCCAUCUGUGAAUAAGAUCACAAAUAUUGAUGUUAUUG